rnacentral:rRNA from 1 species
CAGCCGCCGCGGUAAUACGGAGGGUGCAAGCGUUAAUCGGAAUUACUGGGCGUAAAGCGAGUGUAGGUGGUCGAGUAAGUCGGAUGUGAAAGCCCUGGGCUUAACCUGGGAACUGCAUUCGAUACUGCUUGGCUAGAGUCUGAUAGAGGGAAGUGGAAUUCCAGGUGUAGCGGUGAAAUGCGUAGAUAUCUGGAGGAACAUCAGUGGCGAAGGCGGCUUCCUGGAUCAAGACUGACACUGAGGCUCGAAAGCGUGGGGAGCAAACAGGAUUAGAUACCCUGGUAGUCCACGCCCUAAACUAUGUCGACUGGUUGUUGGGGAUUUGACAUCCUUAGUAACGAAGCUAACGCGUGAAGUCGACCGCCUGGGGAGUACGGCCGCAAGGUUAAAACUCAAAGGAAUUGACGG